rnacentral:rRNA from 1 species
UGGGGAAUAUUGCACAAUGGGGGAAACCCUGAUGCAGCAAUGCCGCGUGUGUGAAGAAGGCUUUAGGGUUGUAAAGCACUUUCAAUAGAGAAGAAAAGCUUAGGGUUAAUACCCCUAAGUAUUGACGUAACCUAUAGAAGAAGCACCGGCUAAAUCCGUGCCAGCAGCCGCGGUAAUACGGAUGGUGCGAGCGUUAAUCGGAAUUACUGGGCGUAAAGAGCACGUAGGCUGUUUUAUAAGUCGGAUGUGAAAUCCCCGGGCUUAACCUGGGAACUGCAUCCGAAACUAUUUAACUAGAGUAUGGGAGAGGUAAGUAGAAUUUCCGGUGUAGCGGUGAAAUGCGUAGAUAUCGGAAGGAAUACCAGUGGCGAAGGCGGCUUACUGGACCAAUACUGACGCUGAGGUGCGAAAGCGUGGGGAGCGAACAGG